rnacentral:lncRNA from 1 species
CAGGAAUAUUUGGGGAGUGGGAUAAAGAAAGGGGAUUGCAAAGAGGUGUUUUUUGGUUUUGUUUUGUUUUUUGAUUUUUUUUUUUUUUUUUUUUGGUGUUUUGUUUUUGAGAUGGAGAGUCUCGCUCUGUUGCUCAGGCUGGAGUGCAGUGGUGAGCAACUCUAAGUUUUCAAACUCAGCUGGUAUUCUGGUAUCAUUCACAACUUGUGUGUUAGUGCUAUCACUGAGCACUUAUCACCUCAGUGCCUAGCAUAAACAGUGUAGAGAAGACCUGAAAUGACCUGAUGGAGCUGAAAACCAUGGCAUGAGAACUUCAUGACACAUGCACAAGCUUCAAUAGCCAAUUUGAUCAACUGGAAGAAAGGGUAUCAGUGAUUGAAGAUCAAGUUAAUGAAAUAAAGCG